CCCUUAGAUGUUCUGGGCCGCACGCGCGCUACACUGAUGCAUUCAACGAGCCUAGCCUUGACCGAGAGGUCCGGGUAAUCUUUGAAACUGCAUCGUGAUGGGGCUAGAUUAUUGCAAUUAUUAAUCUUCAACGAGGAAUGCCUAGUAAGCGUGAUUCAUCAAAUCGCGUUGAUUACGACCCUGCCCUUUGUACACACCGCCCGUCGCUCCUACCGAUUGAGUGUGUUGGUGAGGAGUUUGGAUUGGCCUCGGAAGGUGGUUCGCCACCGUCCGUAGCUGAGAAGUUCUCCAAACCGCCCCACUUAGAGGAAGGAGAAGUCGUAACA
rnacentral:rRNA from 1 species